CACAGAGUUAGCCGGGGCUUCCUCACCCGGUACCGUCAGACUCCGACGUGUUAGGUCGGAGCUUUUCGUCCCGGGCAACAGGAGUUUACAAUCCGAAGACCUUCAUCCUCCACGCGGCGUUGCGUCGUCAGGCUUGCGCCCAUUGCGAACAAUUCCCCA
rnacentral:rRNA from 1 species